GCUUCGGAUAUAGUUUUCGAUUUAAACGAGAAAAUACGCAUUAAUAUAUUAAUGUUUUAUCUGAUGUAUUAUUAACUAAAAAUACCAACGUAUUAAAUUGUUGAUUGUUCUAACUAAAAAGUCAAAGAAUUUGAAUUCAAAAAGAUACGGACAUACUUCGCACGACGGGCGGACCACUGUUGCAGGUGAGAUAUUAGAAAGGUAAAAUAAAGAGGGGAAUUUAAUGUAUAUACGUAACGAUUAAUUCUUGCUAAAGAAAAACGGUUCUGAGCGGAGCUCGGUUAUGCAUGUUUUUAAAGGCCGUAAUAUACUUUACGAUUUGAAAAAAAAAAA